rnacentral:tRNA from 1 species
GCCCGGUUAGCUCAAUCGGUAGAGCGUGAGACUCUUAAAUGAGUACACCAUCUCAAGGACCCCCGCAUCGGGCU